UGUGGUCAAUGCAAAAACCGCAGCCCUUUUAGUGAAGGGCCACGGUUAGCCGAAAACCACAGCCAUAUAAGUAAUAAAGGGCUAUGGUUUUUGGGCUAACCGCAGCCCUUUAUGGGCUUUCUUUAAAAUUUUAUUUGAAAGGAAUUCAAUCUCUUGCGCAAGGAAUAGUGGGCUUAAAAUGUUAAGCGGGUAGGGCUGAUCCUUCCCUCCCUACCUCACACGCUCUCAACCCCUCCUCCCCCACAAACCCUAAUUCUCCUCACCUCUUCUGAACUCGCUCCUCCCUCUCAUAACCCAGCCACCACGACACCAAUUCCCCUCUCUUCUUCUGAUUUCCAUGCUAAGAUUUUAUCUCCUCGAACCAAAAAUGGCACCUUCACCUGCUAAAACUCAAUCUCGUCCAAAUUCUGAGUGAUGACGAAGAACUCGUCGCACCUGAGCUGAGUAGAGAUCUCCUAAACCCACCAUCAUCAUCAACUAGAUCUCCUCCACCAGAUCCCGUACUCCUCCUUAUUUCGUUCUCCUCCCUCCACUUUUCGCGCAAAUACCAGAUCUCGUACACGUCGGUUCCUUUGCUGUCGCUUCAUCUUCGCCACCGUCACACUAACAACAAACACCAACAUGGCAAUAUCGUCGUAUCGUCACUGCCUCGACACCGAUUCUGAGAGAAUCAAGUUGCCAUGAACCCCAUUAACACAGUUUUUAAGGAAAUGGUGAAUUUGAUUGUUGAAUGUGGAGCAGUAUCAGCUUCAAUCUUUUCUCCAUGGCCUGUGACAUUUUUGUGGACCCUUUCUGGUGUUUCAGAUUCAGGCGGACGGCGGUGAUCUUGAAUUUUGUCGAAUUCAAGUUUUCUGUGAUUUAUAGACAUACUCCUAACUAAUCAUUCUAAAUUACGAGUUAACUGAACGAUUUAAUAAACUGUUUGUUAUUUUUUUCGUUAGAUAAAAAUAUUGUUGGCAUUUUUAGCUCCUUUUUUCUCCCUAAUUCUCAGUAGUGGGAGAGUGGGGGUGUGUUUCAUUACUAGUACUUUCUUAUACUUGUUUGCUUGGCCUUAAUUUACAUGAUAAAAUAGAAGAUGAAUGGUUUAGGUUCUCUCUUUUAUUUGGUACA